CCUACUGGAGGCAGCAGUGAGGAAUAUUGGUCAAUGGGCGGAAGCCUGAACCAGCCAAGUCGCGUGAGGGAUUAAGGCCCUGCGGGUCGUAAACCUCUUUUGCCGGGGAGCAGUGGUCCGGACGCGUCCGGACCGGGAGAGUACCCGGAGAAAAAGCAUCGGCUAACUCCGUGCCAGCAGCCGCGGUAAUACGGAGGAUGCGAGCGUUAUCCGGAUUUAUUGGGUUUAAAGGGUGCGCAGGCGGAAGAUCAAGUCAGCGGUAAAAUUGAGGGGCUCAACCUCUUCGAGCCGUUGAAACUGGUUGUCUUGAGUGAGCGAGAAGUAUGCGGAAUGCGUGGUGUAGCGGUGAAAUGCAUAGAUAUCACGCAGAACUCCGAUUGCGAAGGCAGCAUACCGGCGCUCAACUGACGCUCAUGCACGAAAGUGUGGGUAUCGAACAGGAUUAGAUACCCUUGUAGUC
rnacentral:rRNA from 1 species